rnacentral:rRNA from 1 species
AUGUCUAGAUCAACAGCAGAAGCUGAGUACAGAGCAUUAUCUCAAGGGUUGUGUGAGAUGCUCUGGGUGAAGUACCUACUGAGCGAGUUGAAACUUCUGAGGAAGGGCCCCUUGAAGGUGUGGUGUGACAAUCAGUCAGCUAUAACCAUUGCUAAUAACCCAGUUCAACAUGAUAGGACAAAGCAUGUGGAAAUUGAUCGCUUGUUCAUUAAGGAGAAACUUGAUGCUGGGAUCAUCAGCAUUGGUCAUGUCAGUUCUGGGCAGCAGUUUGCAGAUUGCUUGACAAAGGGACUAGAAACAAAGGACUGUAACUUGGCAUGUGACAAGAUGGGAAUGAUAGAUAUCUACCACCCAUCUUGA